rnacentral:rRNA from 4 species
GGUCAAGCUACAAAGGGCUCACGGUGGAUACCUUGGCACACAGAGGCGAUGAAGGACGUGGUUACCUGCGAUAAGUCUCGGGGAGCUGGAAACACGCUUUGAUCCGGGAAUUUCCGAAUGGGGCAACCCCUAGAACGGCUACCUGAAUCCAUAGGGUAGCGCGAGCCAACCCAGCGAACUGAAACAUCUUAGAGCGAGAAGAA